rnacentral:rRNA from 1 species
UACGGAGGGGGACUAGCGUUGUUCGGAAUUACUGGGCGUAAAGCGCACGUAGGCGGAUUUGUAAGUCAGGGGUGAAAUCCCGGGGCUCAACCUCGGAACUGCCUUUGAUACUGCAAAUCUCGAGUCCGGAAGAGGUGAGUGGAAUUCCUAGUGGUAGAGGUGAAAUUCGUAGAUAUUAGGAAGAACACCAGUGGCGAAGGCGGCUCACUGGUCCGGUACUGACGCUGAGGUGCGAAAGCGUGGGGAGCAAACAG